rnacentral:rRNA from 1 species
CCUACGGGAGGCAGCAGUGAGGAAUAUUGGUCAAUGGACGAGAGUCUGAACCAGCCAAGUAGCGUGAAGGAUGACUGCCCUAUGGGUUGUAAACUUCUUUUAUAUGGGAAUAAAAUGUUCCACGUGUGGGCUUUUGUAUGUACCAUAUGAAUAAGGACCGGCUAACUCCGUGCCAGCAGCCGCGGUAAUACGGAGGAUCCGAGCGUUAUCCGGAUUUAUUGGGUUUAAAGGGAGCGUAGGUGGCUUGUUAAGUCAGUUGUGAAAGUUUGCGGCUCAACCGUAAAAGUGCAGUUGAAACUGGCAGUCUUGAGUACAGUAGAGGUAGGCGGAAUUCGUGGUGUAGCGGUGAAAUGCUUAGAUAUCACGAAGAACUCCGAUUGCGAAGGCAGCUCACUGGACUGCAACUGACACUGAGGCUCGAAAGUGUGGGUAUCAAACAGGAUUAGAUACCCUUGUAGUC